UACGGGGGGGGCAAGCGUUGUUCGGAAUUACUGGGCGUAAAGAGCGCGCAGGCGGCCAAGUCAGUCGAAUGUGAAAGCCCCCGGCUCAACUGGGGAGGGUCAUUCGAUACUGCUCGGCUCGAAGACAGGAGAGGGAAGUGGAAUUCCCGGUGUAGUGGUGAAAUGCGUAGAUAUCGGGAGGAACACCAGUGGCGAAGGCGACUUUCUGGCCUGUUCUUGACGCUGAGGCGCGAAAGCUAGGGGAGCAAACGGG
rnacentral:rRNA from 1 species